rnacentral:lncRNA from 1 species
UACAAGAAAUGCAAUCAGGGGGAGCAGAAUGACGCAGAGGAGUCUGGAAGCUCAGGAUUGCAUUAAGCGACUUUCCCAUACUGUGAGGAGAUGUGGUGGGGACCAUUAACUGUUGGAAGGAUUCCUUUUAAGGAUGCAUUAUAUCAAGAGCUAGAUAUCAGAGCCACUUGGGAGAAAUAAGAAACAGGUGUAGAAACAGUCGCAGAUUGGCAUGAGCUGUGGAGAAAGAGUCUGGAUUCUGGGUUGCUGUGUCACACACAGCCCACUUGCAGGAUGACAGUGGAAGAAUGAGUCAUGAUCUCUGCAAGCGCCCAUCAAGAACAGCCUGAGAGGUCUGGAAAGUGCUCACCCCAGGACCCUUCAUGUCCUUAUUAAAAUUGUAUGGCAGAAAAAAAAAAAAAAAAAAAAAAAAAAAA